UACGUAGGGUGCGAGCGUUAAUCGGAAUUACUGGGCGUAAAGCGUGCGCAGGCGGUUCGUUGUGUCGGCGGUGAAAGCCCCGGGCUUAACCUGGGAAUGGCCGUCGAAACUGGCGAACUGGAGUGUGGCAGAGGGGGGUGGAAUUCCGCGUGUAGCAGUGAAAUGCGUAGAGAUGCGGAGGAACACCGAUGGCGAAGGCAGCCUUCUGGGCUAAUAUUGACGCUCAGGCACGAAAGCGUGGGGAGCAAACAGG
rnacentral:rRNA from 1 species